rnacentral:rRNA from 1 species
UCUCGGGUGACGAGCGGCGGACGGGUGAGUAAUGUCUGGGAAACUGCCUGAUGGAGGGGGAUAACUACUGGAAACGGUAGCUAAUACCGCAUAAUGUCGCAAGACCAAAGUGGGGGACCUUCGGGCCUCAUGCCAUCAGAUGUGCCCAGAUGGGAUUAGCUAGUAGGUGGGGUAACGGCUCACCUAGGCGACGAUCCCUAGCUGGUCUGAGAGGAUGACCAGCCACACUGGAACUGAGACACGGUCCAGACUCCUACGGGAGGCAGCAGUGGGGAAUAUUGCACAAUGGGCGCAAGCCUGAUGCAGCCAUGCCGCGUGUGUGAAGAAGGCCUUCGGGUUGUAAAGCACUUUCAGCGGGGAGGAAGGCGGUGAGGUUAAUAACCUCAUCGAUUGACGUUACCCGCAGAAGAAGCACCGGCUAACUCCGUGCCAGCAGCCGCGGUAAUACGGAGGGUGCAAGCGUUAAUCGGAAUUACUGGGCGUAAAGCGCACGCAGGCGGUCUGUCAAGUCGGAUGUGAAAUCCCCGGGCUCAACCUGGGAACUGCAUUCGAAACUGGCAGGCUAGAGUCUUGUAGAGGGGGGUAGAAUUCCAGGUGUAGCGGUGAAAUGCGUAGAGAUCUGGAGGAAUACCGGUGGCGAAGGCGGCCCCCUGGACAAAGACUGACGCUCAGGUGCGAAAGCGUGGGGAGCAAACAGGAUUAGAUACCCUGGUAGUCCACGCCGUAAACGAUGUCGAUUUGGAGGUUGUGCCCUUGAGGCGUGGCUUCCGGAGCUAACGCGUUAAAUCGACCGCCUGGGGAGUACGGCCGCAAGGUUAAAACUCAAAUGAAUUGACGGGGGCCCGCACAAGCGGUGGAGCAUGUGGUUUAAUUCGAUGCAACGCGAAGAACCUUACCUGGUCUUGACAUCCACAGAACUUUCCAGAGAUGGAUUGGUGCCUUCGGGAACUGUGAGACAGGUGCUGCAUGGCUGUCGUCAGCUCGUGUUGUGAAAUGUUGGGUUAAGUCCCGCAACGAGCGCAACCCUUAUCCUUUGUUGCCAGCGGUUAGGCCGGGAACUCAAAGGAGACUGCCAGUGAUAAACUGGAGGAAGGUGGGGAUGACGUCAAGUCAUCAUGGCCCUUACGACCAGGGCUACACACGUGCUACAAUGGCAUAUACAAAGAGAAGCGACCUCGCGAGAGCAAGCGGACCUCAUAAAGUAUGUCGUAGUCCGGAUUGGAGUCUGCAACUCGACUCCAUGAAGUCGGAAUCGCUAGUAAUCGUAGAUCAGAAUGCUACGGUGAAUACGUUCCCGGGCCUUGUACACACCGCCCGUC